rnacentral:rRNA from 1 species
UGCCAGCCGCCGCGGUAAUACGGAGGGUGCGAGCGUUAAUCGGAAUGACUGGGCGUAAAGGGCACGCAGGCGGGUUGUUAAGUGAGAUGUGAAAGCCCCGGGCCUAACCUGGGAAUUGCAUUUCAGACUGGCAAUCUAGAGUAUUUUAGGGAGGGGUAGAAUUCCACGUGUAGCGGUGAAAUGCGUAGAGAUGUGGAGGAAUACCGAAGGCGAAGGCAGCCCCUUGGGAAUAUACUGACGCUCAUGUGCGAAAGCGUGGGGAGCAAACAGGAUUAGAUA